GAGCGAAUGGAUUAAGARCUUGSUCUUAUGAAGUUAGCGGSGGACGGGUGAGUAACACGUGGGUAACCUGCCCMUAARACUGGGAUAACUCCGGGAAACCGGGGCUWAUACCGGAUAACAUUUUGAACUGCAUGGKUCGAAAUUGAAAGGCGGCUUCSGCUGUCACUUAUGGAUGGACCCGCGUCGCAUUAGCUAGUUGGUGAGGUAACGGCUCACCAAGGCAACGAUGCGUAGCCGACCUGASAGGGUGAUCGGCCACACUGGGACUGASACACGGCCCAGACUCCUACGGGAGGCAGCAKUAGGGAAUCUUCCGCAAUGGACGAAAGUCUGACGGAGCAACGCCGCGUGAGUGAUGAAGGCUUUCGGGUCKUAAAACUCUGUUGUUAGGGAAKAACAAGUGCUAGUUGAAUAAGCUGGCACCUUGACGGUACCUAACCAGAAAGCCACGGCUAACUACGUGCCAGCAGCCGCGGUAAUACGUAGGUGGCAAGCGUUAUCCGGAAUUAUUGGGCGUAAAGCGCGCGCAGGUGGUUUCUUAAGUCUGAUGUGAAAGCCCACGGCUCAACCGUGGAGGGUCAUUGGAAACUGGGAGACUUGAGUGCAGAAGAGGAAAGUGGAAUUCCAUGUGUAGCGGUGAAAUGCGUAGAGAUAUGGAGGAACACCAGUGGCGAAGGCGACUUUCUGGUCUGUAACUGACACUGAGGCGCGAAAGCGUGGGGAGCAAACASGAUUAGAU
rnacentral:rRNA from 1 species